CCUACGGGAGGCAGCAGUGAGGAAUAUUGGUCAAUGGGCGUAAGCCUGAACCAGCCAAGUCGCGUGAAGGAUGAAGGUUCUAUGGAUCGUAAACCUCUUGUAUAAGGGAAUAAAGUGCGGGACGUGUCCCGUUUUGUAUGUACCUUAUGAAUAAGGAUCGGCUAACUCCGUGCCAGCAGCCGCGGUAAUACGGAGGAUCCGAGCGUUAUCCGGAUUUAUUGGGUUGAAAGGGUGCGUAGGCGGGCUGUUAAGUCAGCGGUGAAAGUUUGGGGCUCAACCAUAGAAUUGCCGUUGAAACUGGGAGGCUUGAGUACGUUUGAGGCAGGCGGAAUGCGUGGUGUAGCGGUGAAAUGCUUAGAUAUCACGCAGAACCCCGAGUGCGAAGGCAGCCUGCUAAGCCAUGACUGACGCUGAUGCACGAAAGCGUGGGGAUCAAACAGGAUUAGAUACCCCUGUAGUC
rnacentral:rRNA from 1 species